CGGGGUGUAGCGCAGUUGGUAGCGUGCCUGCUUCGGGAGCAGGAUGUCGCAGGUUCAAGUCCUGUCACUCCGACCA
rnacentral:tRNA from 1 species